ensembl:lncRNA
GUGUGUGGGAAGUGUAGUCCUCUUUGGCGAUGUUUGUAGUUAGUGGUGCAUACGGGGAAAUGGAGUUGCUGGUUUGCUGUGAUAUGACAGAUGAAGUUGGACCCAAGAUUAGCAACUGGAAAGGGUUGCAGGGAACCUGGAGCCUAUCCCCGAGAUACGGAGCACAGGCAGGGGACACCCUGGACGGCGUGCCAAUCCAUUCCAGGGCACACUUACACACACAUUCACACACCCAUUCAUACAUUACGGACACGUUGGACAUGCCAAUCAGCCUACAAUGCAUGCCUUUGGACUUGGGGAGGAAACUGUGGUACCUGGAGGAAACCCCCGAGGCACAAGGAGAACAUGCAAGCUCCGCACACACAGGGCAGUGGCAGGAAUCGAACCCUCAACCCAGGAGGUGUGAGGCAAAUCUGAUACCCACUAAGCCACCCCCCAUAUCAGUACAUUUAAAUGUGAAAUAUUACUUGAGAUUUGCAACCAUACCUUUGAUAAUAACUUAAGCAACACUGAGAUUUAUUUGUUUGUUUGUUUGUUUGUUUUACCUAAACUGCUGUAGAUAUAGAUCUAUUGCACAUAAAAACUGUUGCUACAAAAAGUGCAAGGAACCAGGUUGCGCAAUAUUUGCCAUUUAUUUAGAAGAAACAAAACCACUAUACAGAGAUAAACUGUUAGUCGGGUCCUACUACACUUAGAGUAGUGACACUGUGAUAGUGUGACCACAGUUUAUGUGUUUAGAAAAAGUGACUAGUAAUAAAUAAAAUAAAUUGCAC